GUGGGGGAUAUUGCACAAUGGGGGAAACCCUGAUGCAGCGACGCCGCGUGAAGGAAGACGUACUUCGGUAUGUAAACUUCUAUCAGCAGGGAAGAAGAUGACGGUACCUGACUAAGAAGCACCGGCUAACUACGUGCCAGCAGCCGCGGUAAUACGUAGGGGGCAAGCGUUAUCCGGAUUUACUGGGUGUAAAGGGAGCGUAGACGGUGAAGCAAGUCUGAUGUUAAAACCCGGGGCUCAACUCCGGGAUUGCAUUGGAAACUGUUUUACUUGAGUGCGGGAGGGGCAAGCGGAAUUCCUGGUGUAGCGAUGAAAUGCGUAGAUAUCAGGAAGAACACCGGUGGCGAAGGCGGCUUGCUGGACAGUAACUGACGUUGAGGCUCGAAAGCGUGGGGAGCAAACAGGAUUAGAAACCCUUGUAGUCC
rnacentral:rRNA from 1 species